AUUAGGGUAAUGAAGAAAAGCCAUGCCUGCCCUGCUGUGCAGAUCUCAUUUCAGCAAAACUGCCUGGGCUCCUGCUGUUACCCUUGUUUGAUUUUUAACCAGUAUGAGCUGUUACGUAGCAGUUGCAUGUGAAGAGAAGACGGAGUGGAAGUCGUUGUCAGCGGAUCCUGUCCUAAGCUGGGCCUGAAGAGUUCAUCCAGCUGACUGGUGUGAGUACCCUGAAGGGAGGGGAAGGAGCAUGUCACUGGGAAAUCCUGACUUGAGGCACCAAAAUCGCAUCUGUCUCUUAUGACUUG
rnacentral:lncRNA from 1 species